CAAACUCUUCAUCUAGUUACCAACAAUCGGAUUCAGUUUUCGAUUUGGAAUUGUUUCAAUUUCAGUUUCGCGGUUCUAUUUGAGCUUCACGGCUAUGUUUGGUGUUCGCGAAGGUUUUUUGUUCAUAAUCCAAUUGCCACUCAGUUCUGUUAUGCUUCGAGUUUGGAGGUUUCAACUCAGUGUGGAGUUUGGAUUCGAGCAGAGCUUUUUCAAGAUUUUGGUUUAAGUUAAAAUUAAAGCUAGUAUGCAACAUCAUAAAGCUAAACUGGAACAGCGCUUACCAGUUGAAAUGAAGUAAAAUGCAGAUUUUGUCCUUGCUUGCAAGUGUUGCACAGAUAUGGAGGCGGGCUUAUGAAAGGAGAAAUCAGAGACGGUGUUUCUGUUGUUGCCUCUGAUGCAAAACAAGGAGUGUCAUCAAAAAAUCACGCUGAUAAUAUGGUUGCAUCAACUCCACCUAUAGUUCAUUCAUAUGUUUAUCAUAUUGGAGUCCCUUCACAUAGACCUUCCAUUGUGAGUCAGAAGCCAGGACAGAGAGCUCAUCAUAAGUGGAAAGGUCCAGAUAAAAUCAGUAGGAUAUACUGCGAUUGGAUCGACGACUUCGACUAGAGGUAUAAUAACUUAUAUUCCCAAUCUUGGAAACAUGGAAAUGGGGACUUAUGUAAUCACCAUGUUGCUGAAUAAGCUAUGAGUAUCAUUCCCAUCUUGUUAUAUCAUCUAUAAUGUCUUGUGUGAUCCAUCCUUAGCUUCCAGCACUUGUAGCACUUUGUUCAAUUCGCAGAUUAUUGUUCUGUGCACUUCUCUUUGGUGAAGGAUUAAUCUUCUUUUUAUGUUUUUGUUUCAGUUUUGAGUGUAACAAGGGCUUCCUUGUUUGUGCAUCAGACUGCGAUGCGUCUAUAAUU